AGGUGAGUUAGCUGACAUGUCACCCCAUGAUCACCAGCGUUACUUUGAGCUGAUCUGCCUGGCUAGGCAGGUGUCCCCUUACCACUCCCUGUGAGCACCUACAAAGCUACACACUUGGCUGAAGAAGACCUUUUCCAAACAGACUGACCAGUCUCUGGUGGAGAGUAUGCAAAUAGCUGUGCUCCCCUACUAGAACUUCAAACUAGCUUUCAAAAUAUAAUAGUUGGCCUUAGUUUUUGUUUUGAAGCCUCAUGUGAUUAACAAU
rnacentral:snRNA from 1 species